GUAUCUAUUGAAGUGGUGAAUAGUGAAACCCACCUUGCUGUCUCUGUGACGAAUAACUUCACUCUGAAUAAUGUUACCUAUCGUGUGGACAUCUCGCUUACUGCUCUGGGCACCAAUGAGAUGGUUGCACUUCCUCCUCUAAAUGGACGAACAAAUCAAGCACAGCUUAAUUUCGGAUACCCUAACCACACUGUCUGUGAUAUAUUCACCUUCAUUAUGACUCCAAUUAGUGAGUCAGGAAUAGAAGAAAGAGAUCCAGUGAACCUGCAGUCCCUGCAUGGGUUUUUCCUACGAGUAUAACAGGUGAUAGAUAGCAUUGCCCCACUCAUCAGCCAGAAUGAAGAUGUGUUGAUGAAAAUAGUGACUCUCAUUGAUGUGGUGCCUAACUGCCGCAACUUCACUCAUUACCGAAUAUACUCAGCUGCUCUGCCAGGUCCCAUCACCGAGAUCAUACAAUACCCGUUGACUGUGCUGAGUUUCCCUCUUCCCUCUGACAUAAUAACCAACAUCACUGUCACACUUACUGCACUGGGGGGUGUUAAACUGAUAUUCCAAAACAUAGCAAUAUACGUACGCUAUAAUAAGUAUUGUAUUGUAACAAUAAUUAUAAUGGCUAAUUGUGUACAUGUUUUAUCCUUGUAGAAACAACUGAUGUUCAAAAUUUGACAGUGAACAUUUGCCCUGAAGGAAACUGUAUUAGUGUGAGCAUUGAGUAUGUGAAGGUACCCUCUCUCCCGGAGCUCUUGUCUGUGUGAUACGUAUCACUGAUGGAGAGUUGGAUUUUGGUAGCAUAAAAGUAAUUACCAUACCUCAUAGCAGGAGUGAAAAUUUCACAAUAUUAGCUGUUCCCAGUGGAAACUACAGAGUGAUUACGUUUGAUCUUGAACGCAAUUUUCUGCCGAGAAUGCCCAUCUCAAUAGCAGCUGACAGCAGGGACAUAUCUAUUACGGUGUCCUCCGAAGAUGGAGGUAUUUCUGUACAUGCAUGCGUAUAGUGUCACUUGUUCUAUUCAUUUUGUAGGACAACCGGCCAGUAGUGAGGGUGUUUCUGCCACAAAGCUGCCCAACGGAGAUGGUGUCCUCAGGAGAUGGAGGACAACCUCCCAGUUGUGAGGGCAUUUCUGUCACAAAGUUGCCAAAUGGAGAUGCAUAAGUGACUUGUGCUGACCCUGAUGUCGUUUGUCUUGUUUUGUUUCAGUCUACCAUCAAUCUCGACAGAAUUUUAGUUGCUCUCAUUGACUCAUUUGCAAGUUCAACGACCUUCUCUGUCAGUGAUACCUUUGCUAAUGGCCAUGUGAUAGUCUACUCUUGGAAUAGCUCACAAUCCAUCUUCGACGGGAAGGUAUCAAUCAUUAGGCAACUCAAUCCACCAACAAGUGCACCUUCUACUUUGUUUCCUACCGAUCCCACACCUGUUACUGGGUCCCAAUUUCCAUUGCCCAGAGUAAUAGCUGGGAUAACUGUGGUGGUGAUUCUGCUAUUGCUUGUAGUCAUUGUUGUUGGUGUAAUUUGUCUAAAAAAAAGAAAAAAGAAGUAACUGUUCAAGCUCCUGAGUCAGACGGACAAGUGGAUUGAUGCUCAACGUUUCCAGGAAUUGAGCAGACCAACGAAGCUUAUGCUCCAGUACUCAAGAAAAACAUUGCUUAUGAGCAAACAAAGAAACCGCGGAGACAGAGGAUUGAUAACUCACAAGCCCCGGUAACAAUAGAGGGAGAGUAUGAGAGCAUUGAGCCAGCUCAUGAGUACGAGGAUGUGCUCCCGAAAACUAAUUAAUUAUAUCUCAACAUUUUUGACUUUACAAAACUAAAUUUAAAUGGGCAUGGCCUGUCCUCCAUUAUUAAACUGCCUUAUUUAUUAUUUUGUGGUCACAAUCUUUUGUAGACAAUUGCAAACCAGGUACCGUAUAGCGGGAAAUUUUUGCCAGGGGAAAGUUUUUUGGCUCCAGAGCCUCAGUA